rnacentral:rRNA from 1 species
ACUACGGGUGGCAGCAGUGGGGGAUAUUGCACAAUGGGGGAAACCCUGAUGCAGCGACGCCGCGUGGGCGAAGAAGUAUUUCGGUAUGUAAAGCCCUAUCAGCAGGGAAGAAGAAAUGACGGUACCUGAGUAAGAAGCACCGGCUAAAUACGUGCCAGCAGCCGCGGUAAUACGUAGGGGGCAAGCGUUAUCCGGAAUCACUGGGUGUAAAGGGAGCGUAGACGGCUGUGCAAGCCUGGAGUGAAAGGCGGGGGCCCAACCCCUGGACUGCUUUGGGAACUGUACGGCUGGAGUGCAGGAGAGGUAAGUGGAAUUCCUAGUGUAGCGGUGAAAUGCGUAGAUAUUAGGAGGAACACCAGUGGCGAAGGCGGCUUACUGGACUGUAACUGACGUUGAGGCUCGAAAGCGUGGGGAGCAAACAGGAUUAGAUACCCCAGUAGUC